rnacentral:tRNA from 1 species
UGGCUCAGUGGUAGAGUGCUUGCCUCAUGUGCAUGAGGCCCUGGGUUCAAUUCUCAG